rnacentral:rRNA from 1 species
UACGGAGGGUGCGAGCGUUGUCCGGAAUCAUUGGGCAUAAAGGGCGCGUAGGUGGCCCGGUCAGUCCGUGGUGAAAGCGCGGGGCUCAACCCCGCGUCGGCCAUGGAUACUGCUGGGCUGGAGCACUGUAGAGGCAGGCGGAAUUCCGGGUGUAGCGGUGGAAUGCGUAGAGAUCCGGAAGAACACCGGUGGCGAAGGCGGCCUGCUGGGCAGUUGCUGACACUGAGGCGCGACAGCGUGGGGAGCAAACAGG